rnacentral:rRNA from 1 species
CCUACGGGAGACAGCAGUGGGGGAUAUUGCACAAUGGGGGGAACCCUGAUGCAGCGACGCCGCGUGGGUGAAGAAGCGCCUCGGCGCGUAAAGCCCUGUCAGCAGGGAAGAAAAUGACGGUACCUGAAGAAGAAGCCCCGGCUAACUACGUGCCAGCAGCCGCGGUAAUACGUAGGGGGCAAGCGUUAUCCGGAUUUACUGGGUGUAAAGGGGGCGCAGACGGCGAUGCAAGCCAGGAGUGAAAGCCCGGGGCUCAACCCCGGGACUGCUCUUGGAACUGCGUGGCUGGAGUGCAGGAGGGGCAGGCGGAAGUCCUGGUGUAGCGGUGAAAUGCGUAGAUAUCAGGAGGAACACCGGUGGCGAAGGUGGCCUGCUGGACUGCAACUGACGGUGAGGCCCGAAAGCGUGGGGAGCAAACAGGAUUAGAUACCCGGGUAGUC